CUCCGACUCCUCGCAUGGGGUGUCAGGAAAGAUUUCAUCGGUAUGGGAUGGGGUCGCGUCCUAUCAGGUAGUCGGCGGGGUAACGGCCCACCGAGCCUACGACGGGUAGCCGGCCUGAGAGGGCGACCGGCCACAUUGGGACUGAGAUACGGCCCAGACUCCUACGGGAGGCAGCAGUGGGGAAUAUUGCACAAUGGGCGCAAGCCUGAUGCAGCGACGCCGCGUGCGGGAUGACGGCCUUCGGGUUGUAAACCGCUUUUGAUCGGGAGCAAGCCUUCGGGUGAGUGUACCUUUCGAAUAAGCACCGGCUAACUACGUGCCAGCAGCCGCGGUAAUACGUAGGGUGCAAGCGUUAUCCGGAAUUAUUGGGCGUAAAGGGCUCGUAGGCGGUUCGUCGCGUCCGGUGUGAAAGUCCAUCGCUUAACGGUGGAUCUGCGCCGGGUACGGGCGGG
rnacentral:rRNA from 1 species